AUGUACAUUCCUACAACAUAGCGUUUAUGCACUAGAUCCCAUUAGAACUCCGCAGUUAAGCACGCUCAGGCUAGAGUAGUAUUGAGAUGGGUCAUUGCUUGGGAAGUCCUAGUGUUUUACAUG
rfam:Picea glauca, whole genome shotgun sequence.